GACGAACGCUGGCGGCGUGCCUAAUACAUGCAAGUAGAACGCUGAAGAGAGGAGCUUACUCUUCUUGGAUGAGUUGCGAACGGGUGAGUAACGCGUAGGUAACCCGCCUUGUAGCGGGGGAUAACUAUUGGAAACGAUAGCUAAUACCGCAUAACAAUGGAUGACACAUGUCAUUUAUUUGAAAGGGGCAAUUGCUCCACUACAAGAUGGACCUGCGUUGUAUUAGCUAGUAGGUGAGGUAAUGGCUCACCUAGGCGACGAUACAUAGCCGACCUGAGAGGGUGAUCGGCCACACUGGGACUGAGACACGGCCCAGACUCCUACGGGAGGCAGCAGUAGGGAAUCUUCGGCAAUGGGGGCAACCCUGACCGAGCAACGCCGCGGGAGUGAAGAAGGGUUUCGGAUCGUAAAGCUCUGUUGUAAGUCAAGAACGGGUGUGAGAGUGGAAAGUUCACACUGUGACGGUAGCUUACCAGAAAGGGACGGCUAACUACGUG
rnacentral:rRNA from 1 species